rnacentral:rRNA from 1 species
GACGAACGCUGGCGGCGUGCUUAACACAUGCAAGUCGAACGAAGAGCGAUGGAAGCUUGCUUCUAUCAAUCUUAGUGGCGAACGGGUGAGUAACGCGUAAUCAACCUGCCCUUCAGAGGGGGACAACAGUUGGAAGCGACUGCUAAUACCGCAUACGAUCUAAACUCGGCAUCGAGGAUAGAUGAAAGGUGGCCUCUACAUGUAAGCUAUCACUGAAGGAGGGGAUUGCGUCUGAUUAGCUAGUUGGAGGGGUAACGGCCCACCAAGGCGAUGAUCAGUAGCCGGUCUGAGAGGAUGAACGGCCACAUUGGGACUGAGACACGGCCCAGACUCCUACGGGAGGCAGCAGUGGGGAAUCUUCCGCAAUGGACGAAAGUCUGACGGAGCAGCGCCGCGUGAGUGAUGACGGCCUUCGGGUUGUAAAGCUCUGUUAAUCGGGACGAAAGGCCUUCUUGCGAAU